CGAAAACGAAUUCUCUCUUGAGUGGAUCCUGAGUACGACGGAGCACGUGAAAUUCCGUCGGAAUCUGGGAGGACCAUCUCCUAAGGCUAAAUACUCUCUAGUGACCGAUAGUGAACCAGUACCGUGAGGGAAAGGUGAAAAGUACCCCGGAAGGGGAGUGAAAGAGAACUUGAAACCGUGUGCUUACAAGUAGUCAGAGCCCGUUAAUGGGUGAUGGCGUGCCUUUUGUAGAAUGAACCGGCGAGUUACGAUCUGAUGCAAGGUUAAGCAGAAAAUGUGGAGCCGUAGCGAAAGCGAGUCUGAAUAGGGCGAAUGAGUAUUUGGUCGUAGACCCGAAACCAGGUGAUCUACCCUUGGUCAGGUUGAAGUUCAGGUAACACUGAAUGGAGGACCGAACCGACUUACGUUGAAAAGUGAGCGGAUGAACUGAGGGUAGCGGAGAAAUUCCAAUCGAACUUGGAGAUAGCUGGUUCUCUCCGAAAUAGCUUUAGGGCUAGCCUCAAGUGAUGAUUAUUGGAGGUAGAGCACUGUUUGGACGAGGGGCCCCUCUCGGGUUACCGAAUUCAGACAAACUCCGAAUGCCAAAUAAUUUAACUUGGGAGUCAGAAUGUGGGUGAUAAGGUCCAUAUUCGAAAGGGAAACAGCCCAGACCACCAGCUAAGGUCCCAAAAUAUAUGUUAAGUGGAAAAGGAUGUGGCGUUGCCCAGACAACUAGGAUGUUGGCUUAGAAGCAGCCAUCAUUUAAAGAGUGCGUAAUAGCUCACUAGUCGAGUGACACUGCGCCGAAAAUGUACCGGGGCUAAACAUAUUACCGAAGCUGUGGAUUGUCCUUUGGACAAUGGUAGGAGAGCGUUCUAAGGGCGUUGAAGCAUGAUCGCAAGGACAUGUGGAGCGCUUAGAAGUGAGAAUGCCGGUGUGAGUAGCGAAAGACGGGUGAGAAUCCCGUCCACCGAUUGACUAAGGUUUCCAGAGGAAGGCUCGUCCGCUCUGGGUUAGUCGGGUCCUAAGCUGAGGCCGACAGGCGUAGGCGAUGGAUAACAGGUUGAUAUUCCUGUACCACCAUUAUUCGUUUUAAGCGAUGGGGGGACGCAGUAGGAUAGGCGAAGCGUGCUGUUGGAGUGCACGUCCAAGCAGUGAGAUUGA
rnacentral:rRNA from 1 species